AUGGCUUGUUUUUAAGAAGCUCCUCUGAAUUAUUGAUAGAUUUCAGAUGUUUUUGUUUAUAAUCUGCAUUCUUAGAAAGCAUUCAGUCAACAAAUACUUACUUAGUACUGACUACAUAUUAAGCACAUGGAUUGGUUCAACUCUCGUGUCCUUUCCAAAUUAUAGAGCAUUCUUUUCUGUGUUCAAAUGAGUACAUUAUUUAGAAAUCACACUUCUAGGUACAAGAUCUGUUAAAAGAAAAAGUGCCGACAUCUGACUUCCGUGCCUAGUUAAGAGGUAUUCUGUUUGCUGGGAUGGUAUGAUACCUUUAACCUUACAUUUUUGUAUUUGUAAGCUCUUUUUUGUGUUUUUUGUUUUAGUAGAUUUUUCUUUCUGAGCUACUUGGAAACAUUGACAUGGGAAAGAAAGAAUAGUUAUAAGAUUUCCUUGGCUGGUAUGCUUCUUGUGGUUUUUGUUAUAGAUUUUGAAUAUUAUUGGACAGAUUUUGCAGAAAAAGUCUUUGUAGGAAAGACACAAACUGACAAGAGCACUGACAUAUUUUGAGCUGGCCCUAAUGAUCUAGAAGUCUAUUAUGUUCUGUCCUUUCUUGUAACAUUCUC
rnacentral:lncRNA from 1 species